CCUGUGUGACCUUGUGCACGUAACCUGACUUCUCUGUGCCUCAAUGUCUUCAUGUGUAAAAUGGAGAUUAAAUGAGAGAAAGCAUGUCAGGUGGGUAGCAUGGUGCCUGGCUCAAUGUAAGUUCUCAAUAUGUGUAAGCUGUUUAUCUUUUUCCUCUUAUUAUACUUUGGCCAAGGUGGAAAAAGCUUACCAUGACACAGUCUAGCGAUGAACAUAACAUAUGCUGGAAUAUGUAUUUUCCUAUGCUGGGUUAUUGGCAAAGAAGCAAACAGGACACAAAAUGACUAAGAAUAUAAAAUAAUAUAACAAGUGCAGCUAAGUUGCAGACAUGUUCAUUCCAAGCACAAUAUUCAUGUUAGGCCACCCUCCGGUUCCUUAAUGAAAGCAGAGGACAGAAGGUGACAUUUGGCAUUGGGUAAUCCUAUUUGCCCUUUCCUGGAAUGCAAAGAAGGUGGAAGGAAAGGAUCCCACUCCUGUAGCACACACAGAGGCUUUGGGACCCCGUGCCUCCUGCCAACAUCACUCAGCUCAUUCAUUUAUUUAUUCACGUCAGUGACAGAUUCUCAAGACCUCUGAAAAUAUGUUAAGAGCAGGCUCUCCAAUCACACCAGAAAGAAUAUGAUUAAGAACUUAGAGCUGUCUUUAGGCUAAUAACCAGCAGAAACUAAAUCCAAGUAUUUGGGAGUGAAGAUGGUUGUUGAAAAUAUUGAGGCCUAGUAAAUAUUAUUUAGCAAAUGGAAGUAUUUCAGUCGGGGGUUUUGAAAGGCUUAGGUUUAUACUGUAAUCAGCCUGCUCUCUUCUCUAAAAUGAUUAGAGUCCUUGUUCCAUCAGUCCUCCUGAGUGGCUGCGGAACGCAGAAAAGGCAGCUGGUGACAUGCUGUGAAUUGGAAGUGGCUUCUAUUUACCUCUUCUCCACCUACUCAUAUGGCCACGGAUGGUGCCCAGUUCAAGCAGGAAUAAAACACCACGCGAGGCUAACUGGCCUAAGUCCUUCGAGUGGAGCGCAGAAACUUGCUUUAAGAGAGCCUGAUUAAAGGCCCCAAGUCCAUUUUAAGGCAUGGUUUUCUAUUAAGCCUUUAAUGCUUACAGAAGUAUACAUUUUCCAUAGAAAGGGAACCUAAACUGUCCUAAUAUGUGGGCAGUUUAGCUCCUGACUCCCAACUUGGCCAGAGGUGUGGUGAAUCAGCAUGUCACAUUCCACUAAAAGAUGCUUCCCUGUUUAUGUUUGUUUGGUGUUUAGGAAUGUAAUAACUAUACUAGAGUUCUUUCUUAGGCUGUGGUCUGCCUCUGAGGGAACUGAAAGUGAUGCAGAGAGCCAAAACCAGCAUCAUGAUUCUAUCAGAAAGCGUAUGUUUGUGUCCUUCAUUAGGAACAUUGCCGUUCUAUGCUACCGAAUGAAGAGGAUCUUAUUGAUACCUCCCUCUCGCUUCUGCCUCCAAACCAAUCCCUUGCUUCCUUCCACCCAGAAAUAAAAGGACACUCUGAGUUAUGGCAUUAUCAGUGAAUUUUCAGUGGGUAGGAUGUUCUGAGCAGUGAAAACUAUAAAUAAAUUGGUUCUACGCUGGAAUUAGCUGUGGAGCCGGAAAGAUAAACACAGGACAACUAAUUGCAGCCGCACGAUUAACAAGAAUGUUGUUCUAAGGAGAGAAAAAGUCAACAGCAUUAAUGAAAAUUAAGCAGUAUCUCAAUGGUACUAGUAAAUAAAUAAAUAUAUGUCUAUGUUUAAUU
ensembl:lncRNA novel transcript